rnacentral:rRNA from 1 species
GGGGGUCUUACCAUGCAAGUCGAACGAUGAACCACCUUAGGGGGGGAUUAGUGGCGAACGGGUGAGUAACACGUGGGCAAUCUGCCCUGCACUCCGGGACAAGCCCUGGAAACGGGGUCUAAUACCGGAUACCCGCCGCCGCCCGCAUGGGCGGCGGCGGAAAGCUCCGGCGGUGCAGGAUGAGCCCGCGGCCUAUCAGCUGGUUGGUGAGGUAACGGCUCACCAAGGCGACGACGGGUAGCCGGCCUGAGAGGGCGACCGGCCACACUGGGACUGAGACACGGCCCAGACUCCUACGGGAGGCAGCAGUGGGGAAUAUUGCACAAUGGGCGCAAGCCUGAUGCAGCGACGCCGCGUGAGGGACGACGGCCUUCGGGUUGUAAACCUCUUUCAGCAGGGAAGAAGCGCAAGUGACGGUACCUGCAGAAGAAGCGCCGGCUAACUACGUGCCAGCAGCCGCGGUAAUACGUAGGGCGCGAGCGUUGUCCGGAAUUAUUGGGCGUAAAGAGCUCGUAGGCGGCCUGUCGCGUCGGUUGUGAAAGCCCGGGGCUCAACCCCGGGUCUGCAGUCGAUACGGGCAGGCUAGAGUUCGGUAGGGGAGAUCGGAAUUCCUGGUGUAGCGGUGAAAUGCGCAGAUAUCAGGAGGAACACCGGUGGCGAAGGCGGAUCUCUGGGCCGAUACUGACGCUGAGGAGCGAAAGCGUGGGGAGCGAACAGGAUUAGAUACCCUGGUAGUCCACGCCGUAAACGGUGGGCACUAGGUGUGGGCGACAUUCC